CACAGCGCCCACCAGGGACAGCCUGAGCGCCCCCUAUUGGUCCAGUGCGGCCCUCAGAGAAGCAUUUCCCAGGCGCAGACAACGCGGCUUGUUUCUACUGGACGCCGGUUCACACAACUGCAAGAGCCGGGCAAACGACCCUCAGAAGCAACUAGAGCCAGUGACGGCGGGAGAAACGGAGACUUAGAAGACGGGAGACAGGAGAGAAACCCUGAGUGGAAUCAGACUGACAUCCGGAACCCUUGGGAACCGUCAGCCCACUUCGAGUGGUGACCAGUGUUAGCAUUGCUGCAGCCUCCACCCUGAGCACCCAGGAACAGAACGAGAAUGAAUGGAUGGCACUGUGAGCAGCAGUUACCUGAGAAGAAGUGUAUUUUCUGCUACUAAUUUUACCCAAAAUUUCUUUAUUUGAUGAGUCCACAGGAUUUUAGGUUGAGUCCAUUGACUUUUGCUGAGCCUAAAAGAUGCUUUACAAUACCUUCUUUUGCAAGUUGGAUGUGACACUUUGGACUGUCUCAACUCUUGCAAUUCCUUGAGAUACAGAUAUCUUUUCCCUAAAAUGCAAAACUGUAGUCAAUUUAACUGUAAGUUCUUAACUGUGGUUGCUCAGCCACACAAAGAUUGACUUUCCUUAUAUGUAAAAGUUCUGGCAAUACCUACUCCAUAGUCUGUCCAGAGCAUUAAGUAAGAAUCUGUAUAUGAUUCUUUGUGAACUGUAAAAAACUAGAUUAAGAUUAGCUGGGUGUUUAUUUACACAUAGUAAUGUAUAUACAGACAUCAUAAGAGUAACAGGAUUUCAUUUGAUCUUUGUGGAAUGGGUAGGAGUUAAAUUGGUAGAGAGGAGAACAAUGAAUUACUGUGUGGGAAAAUGGUAUGAUAUGAUAAAGAACAGUUCAUCAAAAUCAAAUAAAAUUAAAGGGGAAAGAUGAGAGGCACUCUUUUUAAAAUAACGAUCAUAAUGAUGAUGAUGACUGUUAUUGUCAUCAUCUACUAUUUUGAAAAUUCUUCUUAAUUCAGCAAGGAAGAAAUAAUUAUUUGUAGAUGAUACAGUUUUAGUACUAGGAAACUAAAAAUAAUUGGUUAAAAGUAUUGAAAUUAAUAAGAGGGUUUGGUUAAGUAGGUAGAAACAAAUUAAUAUAUAAAGAAGCAAUAGAAUGUCUCCAAGAAGUUGGAGAAGACAGUGAAAUCUUGCCUAUAUGUUAUUCUGAAUACACUUAUAUUUACUUGCCAGUCAAGUGCAUUGUCCAAACCAGGUUUUCCCAUUGUCCUUCUCCUUCCUUCCCACCACGCUGGCGCUGGCGCUAGCCUGAGAACAAUCAUGUGAUUACAUAUAUCUAUGUUAAUUAGUAUUGAGGAGAAGAGGUUUUAUCUUGAAAAUUCUGUGUUAACAUUUUAGGUGGACCAGGAUUCUCCAAGAAGAGCACUUAAGAGAGGGCCUUCAUAAAAUGUAUGUGUCGUUUCUGUUGAUGCUUAUCUCCCUUUCAGUUCCCCUGAGGUCUCAUUUUCCUUCUCUCCCAGCAAUAACUGUUUGUUAUGGAAUAUAACAACUUGUAGACUUUUGUGAUAAGCCUGUAAUAAAUGCCAGUGUCUGUCUGCACAUGGAAGUAAGUGGUUACUUCCCUCUCUUCUCCACCCAUUCAUCACCUAGACACAGGCUCUGGGAAAGGUUAGCAGAGUUACAGAACCACCGCCUCUCUCAGCCAGAACAUUCCUCCCUCCAAUCUACCUGCCUUGUCCACCAACCCCACUGAUGACUUUAUGGCCAAAUCUGACUGUAGCCAUCCAAUAAGAUAGGUGAGCAUGCUCAGGUCCUUGGUCUAGAAAAUUUUACCUUCCCUGGCCCCCACGGGACUGUGGCCCUAAAUUUCAUUUGAAGUUGAAGAUUGGUGUAGGGGAUAGGCUGUGUCUGGGAGGGCUGAGUAAUCAGAACAGAAUGUGGGAGAGAAGGGUGGAAAAUGCCCUUCCUUUUGUCGGUUCCAGGGCCUCCUUUCUGGGCCAAACUUGGUACCAACAAAAGUACAUGAAAGUACCUAAGUUAGAAUUUGGUGAGUGAAUGUGAUUCCUCUUGCUCUUGAGCUCAGCCUAGUCCUUGUCCUUUCAUGCAGAGCAGCACAAGACCAGGCAAAGGAGUAGGAAAUGUUACGAGGCUUAGCGGCUUUGCCUAUUAGGCCCCAUAACUCUAUUCACAGCCUACUGACACAACUCCUAGUUUCCCCUAUUGUUAACAUCUUAUAUUACUUAGUACAUUGUCAAAACUAAGAAACAACCUUAGUAUA